ACUCACUUGAGCUGUGCGACCGCAACGUGAAUGAAAAACUGUUUUGUUCGUUCGGCUCGAGUUAUUU
rnacentral:pre_miRNA from 1 species